GACAGAGGGUGCGAGCGUUGUUCGGAAUCAUUGGGCGUAAAGGGUGCGUAGGCGGCUUGGCAAGUUGGAUGUGAAAGCCCCGGGCUUAACCCGGGAAGUGCAUCCAAAACUGCUUUGCUUGAGUCCUGGAGAGGGUGGUGGAAUUCCCAGUGUAGAGGUGAAAUUCGUAGAUAUUGGGAGGAACACCCGUGGCGAAGGCGGCCACCUGGACAGAGACUGACGCUGAGGCACGAAAGCGUGGGGAGCAAACAGG
rnacentral:rRNA from 1 species